rnacentral:rRNA from 1 species
CCUACGGGAGGCAGCAGUGAGGAAUAUUGGUCAAUGGUCGGGAGACUGAACCAGCCAAGCCGCGUGAGGGAUGAAGGUACAGAGUAUCGUAAACCUCUUUUGUCAGGGAACAAAGGUAGGGACGUGUCCCCGGAUAAGUGUACCUGAAGAAAAAGCAUCGGCUAACUCCGUGCCAGCAGCCGCGGUAAUACGGAGGAUGCGAGCGUUAUCCGGAUUUAUUGGGUUUAAGGGUGCGCAGGCGGUCUGUUAAGUUAGCGGGAAAAGCCCGGGGCUCAACCCCGGCCCGCCGUUGAAACUGGCAGUCUCGAGUUGGAGAGAGGUAUGCGGAAUGCGCGGUGUAGCGGUGAAAUGCAUAGAUAUCGCGCAGAACUCCGAUUGCGAAGGCAGCAUGCCGGCUCCACACUGACGCUGAGGCACGAAAGCGUGGGUAUCGAACAGGAUUAGAUACCCCUGUAGUC